UUUAAUAUCAAAAAUAAUACAAGGAAUACUCAACCCUUAGAACCAAAAAGGGGUUGAUCACCUUGAAUUUAAACAAUUCAAAAGGGAUACAAACCAAUCCAUAAAAUUACAAGAGGAUCUAUCCUUGUUACAUAUAGCAACCCAAUUCCAAGUGAGGAAUUUAAUAAAGACCACAAUAUAAUCUACAUUAGCAACAAAACCAAGAAAUAAAGUGUUAUUUCUACCUAGUCAUAUGCUCCAGCAAAUUGCUAAUCAGAUCAUUGAUGCCUUACUCGAGCUUAGAGACUUCCGCAACGAGUCAGAAUGAAAAUUGAAAGCGUCAAUACAAUUAGAAAAAAUUACCGCAUCCAUUCUUAAUCAAAAAAUAAUCCCUCUCCAAUAUUCUUAGAAACCACACAGUCAAACAUCAAAUGGUCCAAACUUUCUUCCCCUUCAAAACAAAGAACACAAGAAAGGUCUCUAGCACUAUGAAUAAAGUUUUUCUUCAAAAGUUGAUAUUUAGUUGGAAGACGGUUUAACAAUAAUCUCCAUCCAAAAAUCUAAAUUUUAGAAGGCAUUUUAAGUUUCCGUAGAUCUCCAAGAGCUUUAUCCAAAUUAUCAAUCUUCGGAUCCGCCGUUUCUGCCUCUACCAAAAUUUUGUAGCAAGACUUAUUGAGAACUCUUUAAAGGGAUCUGGUUUUCAGAAAAAUUUGUCGAAGGAUUAAGAUGAUGCUUGAUUUCAUCUACACAAUCAAAUAACUCCUGCACCAACCAAUCUGAUCCAUAAAAAAGAACAAAGAAAAAGCUAUUAUUCCAAAAUCAAGAAUCUUUUUCCCAAGAACAUGCUACUAAACACUAGCAUUGGGAGAUCUAGCAAUUACGAACAGCUUCGGAAACACUUCCUUUAUGCUUUGAGAGCCUCUCCAUUUGUUGUUCAAAAAAGAAAUGUCCAAACCAUUACCUAAAACACAAACAAUGUUAGCAACAAAAGGGUCAACAUCAUGACCGCGCGAACGAUACAAACUGACAAGGUCACGCCACCAACUAGAUUCUUUUUGGCUUCAAUUUUUUCUACUCCAUUCAUCAAACCUAGCCCUAAGUUGUCGUAGCGAUGCUUACGGAGACUGUACCAAAUUGCUUCCUUAUCAUAAAUGAUCUUCACUUUCACUUUAGUAAUAAAGAGAUGUUAAAUAAUUCUAUGUUCUUGAUACCAAGCCAUCCUUUCUCUUUUGCACUACACACUUUCUUCCGAUUCACCUAUUAAAUGCUCUUUCUUUGGUCUGAACCGUUCCAAAGAAAAUUACUUUGGAUCUUGG
rnacentral:lncRNA from 1 species